GAAAAAAUGGGAAACCUGAAGGCAAAAGAGGGGAGAGGGAAUUCUCACCGUUAGCGGGAAAUGGGUAGAGGAGGGGGAGGAACCCCCAAUGGGGAAGGCGACUCUCUGCUCCGUAACGGUCGCUGAGGAGCGAAAGCGGGGGGAAGGAACAGGAUUAGAUACCCGGUUAGUCCACGCCUAAACGAUGAGUCCUAACUGUUAGGGGGGUUUCCGCCCCUUAUGCCGCAGCAAAACGCACUAAGCACUCCGCCCCGGGAGUACGGUCGCAAGGGGGAAAACUCAAAAGAAUUUGACGGGGGCCCCGCCCAAGCGGGUGGAGCACCAAUUUUUAUUUGGAAGCAACGCGAAAAACCUUACCCAGUUCGGGACAUCGUUGACAAUCCUAGAGAUAGGCUUUUCCUUCGGGGACAGAGUGACAGGUUUGCCUGGUUGUCGUCAUCUUGGUCAUGAGAUCUUUGGUUAAGUACCGCAACGAUCGCAACCG
rnacentral:rRNA from 1 species